UUUGGGUGGAAUUUGGGUCAGGGCUUGGCCUCUGGCUUCUAGAACUACUGGGAAAAAUUCACACAUACCUUGUCCCUAGAAAUGGAAUUGCUUCUUCCUCCCUACUGAGCUAAGAGAGCAAUUUGGGAUGGGGGUGAUUCUUAGCUAUUUUCAGCUUUCCUGGAGAAGCUGAAUCUUAAGUGGUGCCUGUUAAGUGGGAGUAAUUAGUGACAACUAGUGACAACUUUCUGCUUUGGAAUCUGUAAGAAGCCGAACCAAACCAAACCAAGAGAAUCAGAAAUGAAAGAGAUCUUGGCAAUUACAGGGUCAGAAGAUGAAUCUUCAGCUGAGAGGUGACUAGAUCAAGAUUUCCAUGAUCAAGAUUUCCAAGAAUUGGUGAAGGUUGAAUAAGAAGAGAGGUCUUUUGACUAC